UACGUAGGGGGCAAGCGUUGUCCGGAUUUAUUGGGCGUAAAGAGCGUGUAGGCGGCCAGAUAGGUCCGUUGUGAAAACUGGAGGCUUAACCUCCAGAGGUCGAUGGAAACCAUUUGGCUAGAGUCCGGAAGAGGAGAGUGGAAUUCCUGGUGUAGCGGUGAAAUGCGCAGAUAUCAGGAAGAACACCCGUGGCGAAGGCGGCUCUCUGGGACGGUACUGACGCUGAGACGCGAAAGCGUGGGGAGCGAACAGG
rnacentral:rRNA from 1 species